AGCGUUGAAACACUGGUUCUCAUACGAUCACUGAAGUUAAGCAAUGUCAAGCCUGGUCAGUACCUAGAUGGGUAACUCCUUUGGAAUAUCAGGUACUGUAAG